UGAUCUACGGCUAUUUCAUUACCAAAGCUCCUGAUAACAGAUCAAAGCAGAUGGAUCGGGCAUACAGAGUUGCCGUUUAACUUAAAAUAUCUUCGUGAUCGGCAAACGCAUCAAACAGUAAGUGUUUUUCUUCCAACAGCACGCACCAUCGGUGGAGCAAGCAGCUAACGUUUUGUUCGCCCAG